UACGUAGGGUGCGAGCGUUGUCCGGAAUUAUUGGGCGUAAAGAGCUCGUAGGCGGUUUGUCGCGUCUGCUGUGAAAUCCCGAGUCUCAACCUCGGGCCUGCAGUGGGUACGGGCAGACUAGAGUGCGGUAGCAGAGAUUGGAAUUCCUGUGUAGCGGUGGAAUGCGCAGAUAUCAGGAGGAACACCGGUGGCGAAGGCAGAUCUCUGGGCCGUAACUGACGCUGAGGAGCGAAAGCGUGGGGAGCGAACAGG
rnacentral:rRNA from 1 species